UACGUAGGGUGCAAGCGUUGUCCGGAAUUAUUGGGCGUAAAGAGCUCGUAGGCGGUCUGUCGCGUCUGCUGUGAAAACUCAGGGCUUAACCCUGAGCUUGCAGUGGGUACGGGCAGACUAGAGUGCGGUAGGGGGAGACUGGAAUUCCCGGUGUAGCGGUGAAAUGCGCAGAUAUCAGGAGGAACACCGAUGGCGAAGGCAGGUCUCUGGGCAUUAACUGACGCUGAGGAGCGAAAGCAUGGGGAGCGAACAGG
rnacentral:rRNA from 1 species